rnacentral:rRNA from 1 species
CCUACGGGAGGCAGCAGUGGGGAAUAUUGCACAAUGGGGGGAACCCUGAUGCAGCAACGCCGCGUGGGUGAAGAAGUACUUCGGUAUGUAAAGCCCUGUCAGCAGGGAAGAAAAUGACGGUACCUGACUAAGAAGCCCCGGCUAACUACGUGCCAGCAGCCGCGGUAAUACGUAGGGGGCAAGCGUUAUCCGGAUUUACUGGGUGUAAAGGGAGCGUAGACGGCAAGGCAAGUCUGAAGUGAAAGCCCGUGGCUCAACCACGGGACUGCUUUGGAAACUGUGUUGCUGGAGUGCUGGAGGGGUAAGCGGAAUUCCUAGUGUAGCGGUGAAAUGCGUAGAUAUUAGGAAGAACACCGGUGGCGAAGGCGGCUUACUGGACUGUAACUGACGUUGAGGCUCGAAGGCGUGGGGAGCAAACAGGAUUAGAUACCCCUGUAGUC